UACGUAGGGGGCGAGCGUUGUCCGGAUUUACUGGGCGUAAAGCGUCCGCAGGUGGUUGUUCAAGUCCGGUGUGAAAGCCCCCCGCUCAACGGGGGGAGGUCAUCGGAGACUGGGCGACUGGAGGAUAGCAGAGGAAGAUGGAAUUCCCGGAGUAGUGGUGAUAUGCGUAGAGACCGGGAGGAACACCAGAGGCGAAGGCGGCCUGCUGGGCUGCACCUGACGCUGAGCCGCGAAAGCCAGGGGAGCGAACGGG
rnacentral:rRNA from 1 species